rnacentral:rRNA from 1 species
UGAGGAAUAUUGGACAAUGGGCGCAAGCCUGAUCCAGCAAUGUCGCGUGAAUGAUGAAGGCCUUAGGGUUGUAAAGUUCUUUCGGUAGGGAAGAAAAUGACGGUACCUACAGAAGAAGCUCCGGCUAACUCCGUGCCAGCAGCCGCGGUAAUACGGAGGGAGCUAGCGUUUUUCGGAAUUACUGGGCGUAAAGGGCGCGUAGGCGGCUAAUAAAGUUGAAAGUGAAAGCCCCAGGCUUAACCUGGGAACUGCUUUCAAAACUCAUUAGCUAGAGAACGAUAGAGGAUGGUAGAAUUCCUAGUGUAGAGGUGAAAUUCUUAGAUAUUAGGAGGAAUACCGGUGGCGAAGGCGACCAUCUGGGUCGUUUCUGACGCUGAGGCGCGAAAGCGUGGGGAGCAAACAGGAUUAGAUACCCUGGUAGUCCACGCUGUAAACGAUGAGUGUUAGGUGUUGGGAUCGCAAGAUUUCGGUGCCGUAGCUAACGCGUUAAACACUCCGCCUGGGGAGUACGAUCGCAAGAUUA